CCUGGUACUCUAUACAGCGCCCCACUUCCGACAUAGUGUUUAACGCAAGGCAAAAGCAGCGGAAGUAAAAGAAAAAAUGUCGCUAAUUCGGUUUUGAACUGGAAACAUAAUAAAUAGGUAACAACAGCUGCACACGAAUUUCUUUUUCCCAAUUGCUUCAAAAGAAAUUUACCUAUCGCUAUAAGACAUUUCACAGAAGGUAAUCGUUCCGGAAGCUAAAUAUUAUCGCAAAGAACGUGAUGGAAACGAAAAGUGUAAUCAUUCAAAGUUAUGUUCUCGAUGGUGGAGAUUGUUGACAGUUGUUUGUAGUGGAAUAGGAAUGCUAACCUCACUUCGAAAGCACUCAUGAUGAUUUGACGUUCGAAACGUCAAAUAAAAUGGCUCAUUCAGUUCGAUGAGCGUGUGCUUCGUUAUGAUUCCGAGGGUCACUCGCUACUGAAGUUGCCCUAAGGGCCUGCACCUUGGACAUAUUCAGCAGGUUUUUCUUAUGUAAAAAAUCGAACAGUUUUGUUUCAAAACUUGAAACUGAUAUACAAGCCCUGUUUUUGGACAAAAUUGAAACAAAAUUUUAGGGCACCAUCAAUAAGGGCAUUUCCAAUAAUGUUCCGAUUUCAGUUUUUUUUUAUUUUAAAACAGGUUUCAAAAUUUAAAUCAAACAUUUGGAAAUUUCUCCAGGAGCUGUUAAGUGGACAUUCACCACAUUCUUCUACAUGUUUCACUGGGAAUCCAGAAGCUUUGUAAGAAAUUCCUCUAAGAUUUCCACUGGAAAUUCAUCUAGGAGUUCCACUAGGGAUUCUUUCUGACGUGUAUCCGCAAAUUUCACUAGAAAGGAGUGUUUUUUUCGGGGAUUUUUCUAGAAGGUCAAUUGGGAAUUCUUCUGAGAGUUCCAACGCGAAUCCCUUCAAGAUGUUCCCCCCAGAGUUUUUCCAGUAGUUUCUCCGGGGAUUUCCCCAAGAGCUUUAUUACGAAUUCUUCUAGGAGUUCUUUCGGAGAAAUUCCUCUGGAAGUUCCAUCUCUUGAAGAUUCAUCGGAAAUGCCUCUUGCAGUUCCAUUGGUCAAUCCUCUAGGAGUUUCAUUGGGAAUCCCUCAAUGAGUUCCACUAGAAAUGUCGCUAGGCUAGGUACAUAACUGAGAAUUCUUCUCGGAAUACCACUGGGAGUUCCUCUAACGAAUUCUUUCCUGUGAAAAUUCCUGGAUUUUUCAGGGAUAUUUCCUUCGGAUUCAUUCAUUGAUUUCUCAUACGAUUCCAUCGGGGAUUGCUUCCUGGUUUUCUUUAGAGAUUCCUUCCGGGAUUCCUCCCAGGACUCUUUCUGGAAUUUCUGUUGGAACUCCUCACGAGAUUUCUUUAGGGAUUUCUCUCGGAAACCCACCAAGGGUUAUCCCGGGGUUCCUACAUUAUUUUUUUCUUGGGAUUCCCCCAUGGAUUCCUUCAGGGGUUCUUCCAGGUUUUUUUUUGAAGUUCUCUCUUGGGAUUCAUUCAGAAAUUCCCCUGAUAUUCUUUCGAAAUUCUUGCAGGGAACACUUCCAGAUUUCUUUAGAAUUUACUUUAGAGAAUUCCUCAGAUUUUCCUUUUGGGAUUUCCACCGAGAUUUUUUUUUUUCAUGAAUUUCUUCCGGCACUCUUCCAGGUAUUCUCGCUAUUCAUUUAGGUAUUCCUACAUAGAUUUCUCCCUCGAGUUUUGUAUUGAUUAUUCACGGAAUUCCUGAAGGGAUUUCGUUCAGGAUCCUCUCAGGAAUUUCUCCCAAGAUUCUUCCAGGAAAUCUUGAGAUUUUUUGAUAACUUCUCCAGAAAUCUUUUCAAGAUUCCUUCAUGGAGAGUUCCCGGGAUUCCUUCCUAGGUUUCUUGAGGGAUUCCUUCAGAAUGCUUCCAGAGAUUUCUCUUUAAAUUCUUUAAUAGAUUGCUCCCGGGAGUGACCACUGAAAAACCUGUAGAUUACGAAGUUCUUAAUUUAAAGUUUUUUGAUGACCGUGAAUAUCUGGCAAUUUCAUCGGAGUGGUUCAAAACGCGAGAAUUACUACCGUUUGAUCAAACUGGAUAUCCUUCUUUGCAACAACAGUUGUCAUUUUGAGCGAUCUAGAUCGUGAUACAUGCAACGCCCUUAAUCAAGGCUCAUUACAGCACUAGGGCCAAGUAGUGGUCCAGAUCACGAGAUAUACGACGUUUAGACUGCUCUGGAAGCUCCUUAGAGAUAUACGUCAUUCAGACUGAACUGGAAGCUACUAAGAACACUAGCGCCACACAGUGAGUGAUUCUCGAACUAAAUUAUUUUCCAUGCGAAAGCUCUUAGGCGUCUGAGCAACUUUGCCGAAGACAGAAUCGUUCUAAGUGGUCCAGAAAGCGGGAUAUAUGACGUUCAGACUGAACUGGAAGCUCAUAAGAACACUAACGCCAGCAUCAGUGGGUAAUUUUCGAACUAAAUUAUUUUCUACGCGAAAGAUUUUAGUCUUCUAAGUAACUUUGCCGAAGACAGUAUCCAUCUAAGUGGUCAAGAACACGAGAUAUACGACGUUAAGACUGAACUGGAAGCUCAUAGGAACACUAGCGCCAUGCAGCGAGUGAUUUUCGAACUAAAUUGUUUUGUAUGCGAAAGCUUCUAGUGUUCUGAGCAACUUUGUCGAAGACAGUAUCCUUCUAAAUGUACCAGAACACGAGAUAUACAACGUUCAGACUGAACUGGAAGAUCCUAAGAACACUAGCGUCAGCAGUGAGUGAUUUUCGAACUAAAUUGUUUUCUGUGCGGAAGAUUUUAGUCUUCUGGGCAACAUUGCCGAGGACAGUAUCCUUCUAAGUGGUCCAGAACACGAGAUAUACGACGUUAAGACUGAACUGGAAGCUCAUAUGAACACUAGCGCCAUGCAAUGAGUGAUUUUCGAACUAAAUUGUUUUCUAUGCGAAAGCUUUUAGUGUUCUGAGCAACUUUGCCGAAGACAGUAUCCUCCUAGGUGGUCCAGAACACGAGAUAUUCAACAACUACUUUCAAAAUGUAGUGCUCUUCCACAUGUCCGAUAUGGUGCCCUGUGUAGCAGCUUCCCGGUGACCAAUAUUCUCGGAACCACAAUUUCAACAUAUCAACACAUUCUUGACGAAAUUAUCUAUCAAAUAGGACUUUGGUCAUUUGAAUUGGAGUUUGAUUUUCUGGGUCAUAAUGACCCCAAUGCAUUCGUAACUUUUUUUAAUGCCCGAAGAAGGUUAAUCAAUUGACAUUCAUCCGGACCCAAUUGGAAGAUUAUCAUCCAGCGCAGUGGUAAGUGACAUAAUUUAUGCGUCGGAGCGACUGAUAACGUGCGUUAGGCUGCUCAGCCGAUUCGCAAAGAAAGAGUAUGGUGAGAGUUUUCAACGUAUCCAGGCGUUUGGCAUGCUACCGACUGUACCUUGUACCGUUGGGUUAAAGAACAUUGUGGAGUGGAAAAAUGACAAUUUAGAAGAACGCUCGACCACAUUUCUGGUGAAGUUAUAGAAAGUGGGAAAGUAAUUUAGUGGCACCAAACAUCACAUUAUGCACAUUUAGCGUGCCUGUCUGGGUCAUAUUGACCCCAACAUCUAACAAAGGUUAACAGUAAGUAUUUCAACGAGGGUAAGCCAGCUUUAUGGAGGAAAAUUUUUAAAUAAAGUUGCAAAACUGCUCUCAGAAACCUCAGAAACUUGUAUAGAAAAUCCUCUCAAUGAGGUCUGCAAAAACUUUUUGGAAAUGUUUUUCGUUGAUCUCCUGAAAAGUUUGUAAAAAAAAGGCAGGAGAAGCUUCGAACCGCCCCCUAGAUUUCUGAAGAGACUUGUCAAUGUCAGACAAUACUUCUCGAUAAUGAUAAAGUUUCUCAGAAAACCUUGGAAUAGCUUCUCACAGAAAUCUGGAAAUGAAACUGGCAGAAGCACUAAAAAAUGCUAGAGAAACCUUCCCACAGAAGAAUAAGAAACCUUUCCACAGAGAGGCCCGAGAAAGUUUCUCAUCGAAGCCUUAAAAAGCUUCUCAUAGAUGGAAAUGGAUUCUCAUAGAAGGCCGCCAAAAAUUUCUUACAGUAACCUGGAGAAGCUUCUUAUAAAGCAUCACAAAAAAAACUUGACACAGCUUCUUAUAGGUGUAAAUGUAUUGCGUAACUCACUGGAUCAAUCCGUUCCCAGCCAUAUUAGCGAACUACAGUAUAAUCACUUGGCAUAAUACGGAACCUCACGAUGAGGGCGACAUGCUCCACCAAAUCUCCCCUCCUCAAUGAGGCAGCAUCACCCUGACAACCUCGUUAUGGUGCUGGCUGUCACUGAUGAUUGCUAGGGGAAGGACAAACAAGGGAAUUGACACAAUUCACACCCCGUAAUAGAAACCGAAAAAAAGAAUCACAAAAACCUAGAAAUAUUAGAAGGCCACUCCAGAGGUACGUUCUACUCCAUUCGGCCAUCCUUGAUGCCUGAGUAUGCAAAAAAAACUGUCAUUAGAAGGAGAAGCUCUCAGUUAUUUACUAUAUGGAGGUUUUCAUAGACACUAGUUGAAAAGUAGGCUUUGUUCCAGUGAGACGUUAAGCUAAAAAGAAGAGAAGAAAAAGAAGACCUAGCAGAUUUGGAAGGAUUUGACUUGUUUCUGAAUGGCUUCAUGGUUUACAGCGAAGACGAAGAAAAAAAAUCAGCUCUAACUGGAGUCUGGAGAAAUGGCUGGGCUGGGCUGGGCUGAUGGGAUUGGAUCUUAAAGGAUUUUCCAAGAUUUUUUUUUCUAGAAAUUCAUUACAAAAUUUUCCAAACCAUUUUUCCAAAAUCCAUCAGAUUUUUUUUUUCAAAGAUACUCUUUUGGAUUCCUGGAAAAGCUCCUCCAGAAGUUUCUUUACGAAUUUUGUUAGAAAUUCCUCCAGGAUUCCUCCAAAAAUUCUUCCAAACAUUGCUUUAGCAGUUCUUAUAAAGAUUCCUCCAGGAACUCCUCCAAAAGUUUCUCUUAAAAUUUUGCAUCCAUGAUGUUUUUCAGUGAGAUUUGCAUCAACGCUCCGGGAAUUCAGUCAAAGAUCUCUUCAAGAACACCUGUACACUAGUAUUUCUCCAGAAUGUCUACCACGGACCAAGGCUCCUCUGAGAUUUCCUCCAUAAAAUUUUCCAUGGUUUCUCUGAAAAUUCGUACAGGGAUCUCUUGAGAUACAUUUGCAUUGAUUAUUUCAAAGAUUCCCGCAAAUAUUGAUUUUCAUUCGAAUUCCUCCAGAAAUUUCUCCAAAUUUCAUCUUCAAAAUCCAACAGAAUGUCUUUCAAGAUCUUUCAUGAAUCCAGGGAAACUUGCAAAGAUCCAUUCAGGCAAUCUUCCAGGAAAUUUCAAGAAAAAUAUUUUAAAUAUUUAUCUGAGAAACUCGGAGAUGAAAAAAUGAUUUGUGGAGAAUUUGUUAAAAAAAAAAUACGGGAAAUUAUUAGAAAAUUUUCUGCACCAUUCUUGAAAUAAUUCCUGGAGGAAUCCGUGGCAGAAUUCCCAAAAAAAUCUUUACAAAAAUUCCUUGACAAAACCAUAAAAGAGUUUUGAAAGAAUCCAACUGGAGGGAAAGUACGAAUAAUUGGUGGUGAAAUCUAAGAAGAAACAAACUCCGGGGUCGGAGGAAUCUGUGGAGGAAUUUUAAGAAAAAUCCUCAAAGAAAUUCAGAAGAAAAUAUAAGAAGAAUUUCUGCAGAAGUUCUUGGACUCGGAAGAAGUUCUUGACAAAUCUUUGGAAGAUUUUUUGGGGAAACUAUGAACAACCAAAAAACAAACCUUUUAAUGGAGGGAGACAUGGAAAAAUUUCUCAAGAAAUUUGCGGAAGAAUUGUUGAAGUGAAUCAUGAAAUACUUCCAAAAAAACAAAACCAUCAUAGAACACCUGGAGAUAUCAUAGGAAUAAAAUGUAUAAUUUUUUUUGUAGAAUCCUCUGGAAUAAUUUCUUCCGAAAUGUUUGGAACAAUUCCUGGUAUAAAUCUUGGCGGAAAAAUCCUGUACACAUCAACGGAAGAAAUCCUCGGAAAUUUCCGAAAAAAAAUCUUGAAGUAUUCAUUUAGAAAUAAAUUGAAAUUCUUGCGUAAACCAUAAAUACUCCCAGCAGAGAGUAAGAGUGAAUACUGCGAGAGUGGUUCGGAUGCAUGCUGCAGCAGAUGUGGUGAAUAAAAAAGUUAUCUAUAUCACAGUGCGUUCGUAAGACUUAUUUAUAUCCAUUGAGAAGGUUCCUUUAUGGAACAGCCUUUUUCGUCAUGCUUAAAAUAUGAUAACCAAUUUUUGUAGGUUAUUACAGAUAUGUUUGGAAAUAUUCGUAAAAAUACAUUGAAUUUUCUUAAAGAAAUCUGUGAAAGAAUUAGAAGAAUUCCUGGAUAAAUCCAAGGAUAAAUCCUUAAAAGAAUUCCUGGGAAAAGAUUUGAAGGAAAUCUUGCAGGAAUCAUUGGAAGAAUUUAUGGAGUGAAUCCUCGAAGAGUUUCUGGAGAUAUUUUUGGAAGAAUUUCUGAAGUAAUCCUUACAAGAAUUUUAAGGAAGUACUCAUGGAAGAAUUCCUGGAUAAAUCCUUCUGGAGUAAAAGAACUUCUGAAGGAAUCCUUGGAAGAAUUUCUGGAGUAAUACUUGAAAGAAUUCCUUGAUUAGGUUCUUCUGGAAGAACUUCUGGAGGAAUCCUUGGAAGAAUUAUUGGACAAAUCCUAGGAAGAAUUUUGAAGGAAUCUUUGAAAAUGUUUUCAAAGGAAUCCUCGGAAUCAUUCCAAAAGGAGUUUUAGGAAGAAUUCCUGGAAAAAAAAUUGCAAGAAUUUCUAGACUAAUCCUCAAAAAAAAAUCCUAGAGGAACUUUUGGAAGAAAUUUUGAGAAAUUUUUGGAAGAGGUAACUUGAAAACAUUUUUGGAGAAAUCCUAGAAACAUUUCUUUUUGAUAUGUUUGGAAGAAUUCUAGAAGAAGUCUUCAAAGAAUUUUUAGAGAAUUCGCUGGACAAAAUCCUGCAGGAAUCCUUUGGAAGAAUUUUUGAAAGAAUCCUUAGAAGAAUAACUGGAAGAAUCCUUCUGUAGCAUUUCUUGGAAGAAUUCUUGGAGGAAUCCUAACAAGAACUUUGAAGGAAUCUUUUCAGAGAAUUCCAUACAAUAAUUUUUAUGGAGGAAUCUUUGAAAGAAAUUCUUGGAGAAAACUUGAAAGUAUUCCAAGACUAAUCCUUGGAAGAAUUCCUGGAGAAACUCUUGGAAGAAUUUCUGAAGGAAUAGGGGAAAUUACCUAUUCUCGGCCGUUUUGUUCUCUUCGUCUUUGGGGUUUUUUUUUUAAACCUAUUGAACUCAGAGUUGGUCUCAAAUCCUUCCCAACUAAGCUGAAUUAUAUAGCCAAGUUUCAGGCAAUUUGGCUGACAAAAACCCCCCAUGACGAAGAGAACAAACCUGCCGAUAAUACCCAUUGUCACCCUACUUGGAAUUCAUGAAAAAAUUCUUGGAAAAAUAUCUGGAAGAAUCUUUUGACGAAUUCCUGGAGGAAGAGAGGAGGAGGAGACAAAUUCCUGGAGAAAGAAGAGUUUCUGGAGAUACCUUAGGAAGAAUUUCUGGAAUAAACAAUGAAAGAAUUCAUGCAGGAACUAAUGGAAGAAUUCCUGGAUGAAUCCUUGACAAUCUUUGGAAUAAUUCGUGGGGGAAUCCUUGGAAGAAUUUCUGGAGUAAUUCUUCAAAGAAUUCCUGGAUGAUCUCUCGGAAGAAUUUCUGGAGUAAUGCUUGGAAGAAUUCCUGAAGGAAUUCUUCUAAAAAAAUCUUUGGAAGAAUUUCAUAAGAAUUAUUGCAGGAAUCCUUGGAAGAAUUUUGAAGGAAUCUAUGAAUGUUUAGAUUAAUGCUUGGAAUAAGGAGAAGUGUUUGGAAGAAUUGCUGGAGGAAAACUAAGACUAAUCCUUGAAAGAAUACCUGGAGGAACUCUUGGAAGAAUUUCUGAAGGAGUGUUUAGAAAAAUUCUUCGAGGAGCUCAUGGAAACAUUUCUGGAGAAAUCCUUGAAAGAAUUCCUUCUCGAGACCAACUCCAGAAACACGUUCUUCUCCACUCGGAAAAUUCGCACUACCCUUGCCUUGAUACCUGUGAAAGCUUCUUACAAAUGUUUGAGGAAAUUUAAUUAAAAUUCUAGAAAAAACAUCAACAAUGCAUAAAAAAGCUUUUGCAACAACUUUUAAUGCUUCUCACAAGGACUAUAAAAAAAUCUUACUGAAUCCUGGUGAAAAAUGAAAAGUUUCCUUCAAAUAAAGUGACUUUUUCGGUAGGUUUUGUUCUCUUGGUCAUGAAAGUUUUUGAGAACAUCCCUUGUCAAAGAGGAGAAAUCUGCUGAAAAUACACUAAAUUCUCAUAUAUGGAGAAGUUUUUCUAGCAAAAUUCUGCUCAUUAUCUUACAUACAGAUCUCUUCAUGAAACUCUAAUGAUAACGCUGACACCUUUCGCGAGAAAACUUUCAAUAUCUGUUUAGUAAAUACAUGAAAAGAUUUCGGUACUCUGUUCAAUUAGAAGUAUUAAUAUAGUGGAACAAGCUCACCUGUUUGGAUCUGUUUUGACUUCCAUCAGCUGUAAUGCUUCAUGCUGGAACGAGAAAAAACUCCGUUGAAACUGCUUUCUUUAGUGUGGAAAUGUUUCUUACAGAAGUUUGACAAAGAAUUUUCAUUAAAAUGCAAAAAAAAACUUCUCGAAUAAGCCUGGAAACGUUUCGUAUUGCAGUACGAAAUAGCUGCUCACGAAAUUCUGAAGAAGUAUACAAUAACCUGCAUAUAGGAAUGCUACCCGCAGGACAUCCAAAAACCUUGGGAGCGGCCUGGUGUGAUGGUUAAAGCACGUGACUGUCACGCUGAGGACCUGGGAUCGAAUCCCUCUCCCGACAAACUCACAAAAUGUGAGUUCUUCCUUCGGAAGGGAAGUAAGACGUGGGUCCCAAGAUGAACUAGCCUAGGGCUAAAAAUCUCGUUAUAACAGAUUUAAAAAAUAUCCAAAAACCUUCUCACAGAAGCGUGGGAAGUUUUGCUUACCAACUCGAAAAUGUUUUCACAGAAUGCUAGAGAAGAUUUACACAGAAAUGACAUUAAUAUAAUGGGAAGUGCUGCCAGAAUAUCUCUGAACAACUCUUUAUCGCUCCCACAGAUCGUCAUGAAAAUAACCUUAGCCUAAAAGCAACUGGAACAACUCUCCAUUGAGCAGUGUUUGCAGCUCCGUUGGUCUAGCAAUGUAGAAUCCAAGUGUCAAUUCAUUAUGAAAUCUAUAAAGUACCAUCGGCCUGAGUCCAAGUGAACCAAUUAGACAAAACGAAGGUUCCAUUUACAAAAGUUUAGCUAAAACAGUUCAUACGUUUGUUCAUACAGGCAGACAAACAUACUCACAAGCAUGCUAAUACAAAAAUCAUAUUCAUAGCGCGUUCUUUAAACCAAAACUACUUAAAUUCGUUUGGAUUUUUUAACUCGGUUCGCUUUAGGAAACUUUUCCCCCGAAUAAUGGAAACCCCUAAGUACUAACACUCCUUCCCUUAACUUACUCAUCAUCGUUAAUAAGUGUCCAAAGUUCAAAAAACGGAAUAUCAGAGUCGGAACGACUUCGUUGUUAGUAAAUCCCCACAUACACACACAUUCAUGUGUGGAAAAAACGUGCAUAUGAAUCAAAAAAAAAGAAAAAAAACACGGAAACCCACUAUUAAUUCUAGCCGAAAAAAUUUUUAGAAUCGUACUGUUGUUACUAUUAUUAUCGGAAUAUUAUUACACCAUUUACCAUUUUCCAUUGACUCGUGCAGCUUACACAAAGAGACACAUAUACACAAACACACACCCAUACCCACAUGGAUAUAAGCGUGUUGAAAACAAGUGAGUAGCAGAAACAUACCGAAGAGCAUUUUGUAAAUACAUUUCUCGUUCGUUAUUCGUUGAUAGGGAAAAUUCGAUAGAAACUAUACUUAAUCAAAUGGGUAUCAAAUGCUAAAACACAAAAAAAAGUGAAACGACACCGUUUUGAAGUGACAGUUUCUGUCAGGUUUUAUAGGUUAUGAUUGACACGAUUGAAUUUUGUGUUUUGCUGUGUAUAGGAAACAAUCUGUGAAACACUAAACAAAAGAGUAUGGAUUUGUUGUGCUUGAGAGGGGCAGACUAGUUUUUUUUUCUCAAAGUUAGGAGUUUAUGGUCUGAAUUAGCUGUUCCUUCCGUUGUUGUUUCUUCGGAAGUGUGUAAAUAGAACAUAAGGUAUCACGAUAUUCGUUAGUGCCCGUUUGUAACCGUUACGUUAAACGACGCAGUUCACUCACCUUCAAUACCGCUACAUGGAUUCUUCCCGCACUACAUUUACAUUUUUCUUAAGAAAAGACAUUACAGCAACAUUGUACUCGCUCUAGAAAAUACCAAAAUUUGUUUGCAUCGUCGUCGUCGUCGAAUAUUGCACUCGCACAACGCUAGUGAAUCACACGCGAUCACUCGCUCAAAAACAAUGGAAACGAUCUGAAAACCUCGUCGAAAUGCAAUGUAAACAAACCAACGUCAACGAAAGCCCGAAGCUCUCUACUAGCGCCGUCGCAGCAGUCAGGUGUCUCUCAUUCGGGAGAAGGAAAAAAAUUCUCUCUCUUGAACCAUCGUUUUCGCUCGCUCUCUAUUCGCCAAUGUCUCGCAACACACUGUCGUAACCAGAGCGUUCAUGAUUAAUAAAAAUUUUAAUCAUGAUUAAUCAUUGAUGAUUAAAAUUCCAAUUUUGGUGAUUACUGAUUAUGAUUAAUGAUUAAUUUGCUUUUUAGGACGAUUAAAGAUUAUGAUUAAUGAUUAAAUUUGGUUUUAUCUGUGAUUAUUGAUUAUGAUUAAUGAUUAAAAAUGGCUCAUUGAUUAAAAAUCAUGAUUAAUCAUGAUUAAUCAAUCACAAAAAACUGGAAAUGAUUAAAAUAUAUUUAUUGUUGAACGUGUUUUUGAAGUUUCAAAAGUAAAGGGUAACUCUGUCCGCUAGAUUUUUGAAAAAAGAAUCAUAAAUUAUAUUACUUAGAACAGCAUUUGAAUCAAUUUGAAUUGGAUCAUAUAUUUUAUAUGAUGAAUCAUUUUUGGUGAUGAAUGAUUAAUGAUUGAUUAAUAUUUUUUCUUAUGAUUAUGAUUACUGAUUAAUGAUUAGAUUGCAAAAACAGUGUGAUUAAGAUUAAUGAUUAAUGAUUAAAUGAGAUUUUUUUUGUGAUUAUGAUUAAUGAUUUUGAUUAAUCAUAAUCAUUAAUCAUUAAUCAUGAUUAAAUUUAUGAUUAAUCAUUAACGCUCUGGUCGUAACGCGCCGUUACAAUUGCCAUCGCCUACCCGUCAGCACUGUAAACGUAUGUUUCUUUUUCGAUUUUUUCCUUAUCAAAGAACCACCCUGGGCUUGCCGUUAUAUCACCGUUUCAUAUCGUAGCCCUUACUUAUCUCGGAAAGGAGAAACACUCAUACAUUCAUACAGAAGAAAAAUAGACAAUUUUUAUCACCGCGGCAAGCCGACCCACUACUAACCCCAAAAAAAAAGUCCUGAAAAGAAGCUUUUAUCGGUUAAUUUUUGUACAAUCGGAGAAGCAAGACACCGUCGUCGUCGAUUCCAAGCGGAACGCACGAUCGGUCACCGAACGAAGAAGAAAAGUUUAAUCGCAUAUAUUUAUAUCAGUAAAAUUUAUAACGAAAAAUUGAGAAAACAAAUCCGCUAUACACUCGUAUUUAAAAAUAAAGGUACCCGAUCUAAACAAAACGACUCAAGUAAGUAUUUACAACCUGAAUUCAAGUCCACGAGAACGAAACCGCUUCUGAUGGAUGACGCGGAAAGCUUCAGAACGAAAGCUGCAUUGGCAACACUGGCACUGGUGGUGGCGUAGCACUGCCACCAAUUUCAUACCGCCUAUACCUACUCUCUGACUGGUUUUAUGUUUAUAUGUAUAGGAAAAAUUUGUUACCAAGGAAAAAAGCCCAAAGCACCACCAAAAUAGGAUGUAUCGUCUUUAAGAAAAAAAUAAGGUAAACCAUUCGAACGCAUCAUACACACGCAUUACAAUAAUGUACUCAUACAGUUACAGUCCAGAAGAUUAAAAUCCCCCACACGUACACACAGGUCCCCUGGAUAUAUCGACGUUUGAUGUAAUCAAUGGAACAUAAUCGAACACAGAGCGCUACAUAGUCCGAUACACGCAUCCUAUGGUAGGCACAAACAAAACAUUCAGUUGAAGUUCCAACAGCGACGGCAUUGCGAAACCGAUCUCAGUCAUUUGAAUCAAGAGUUGCCAGUUUUCAAACUACGAGCAUGAAUUUCAACCAAUUUAGAUUUUGUUAUGCUUUCGAGGGCCAAAACAGUUACGAAGCAGUUAGAAAACCACGAUAGAACCCUGAAACGUGUUGCAGGGGCUUCGAUUAACUGGGAAGGGUUGCCAGUUGUUGCUUUUGGCAAGCAAAUUGGCAAUUAUGAUUGAGUGACAACUCGAUGGUGUUUCAAUGUAAGGAAACGUGAUUUUAGAUAUCGUGAUGUAGCCCACCACAACCUGAACAUGAGUCGUCACUGGCCUAGUCACGAUGUUUUUAUUUGGUUUUCAGGGAAAUCCCAAUAAAGUGUGAUUCAUAUUGCAAAACUUUUAGGAUGAUAUCCUAUCCUACAGGAUACUUUAUUUGAUUACUAGCAGAUUCGUUUAGCAGUCCUGAUCCCGAGCAGGAACGAAUAACUGACACAUAACUAGAGCAUACCAAAGUCAGGUAUAAUACCAAGACAAGGUAUUGGUUGGUUAUCCAGGUAUUGGAAAUAACUUAUUUUGGUAUUUUUUAGAUAUUGAUAGAAUACGUCAACGAGUUAUUGGUUUGGUGUUGAGGACUGUUUGAGGUAAUAUUCAGUUAUGGAAAAAUCAAUAUUUGUAUGGAAAAAUCGUCGAUUAUUAUUCAGGUAUUGCCAUACCUGACGUCAUUAUUCACGUGUUAUGUACAGAAUAUUCACCAGUUAUUAUUUUAGGUAUUUUACCUGUUAUGCAGGGCUACUAAAUACCUCAUUCAGGUUGUAGGUAUUCGGUUUUCCAUACCUGAGUUUGGUAUUCUUCAGCUAUUUUCUCCUGCUCGGGGUGUGAUGGUUAAAGCCCAUGCUAGUUAUAUCGAGGACUUGAGAUCGAAUCUCACACUACGUUGAACAGUAAGUUCGAAAGAGCAUCCCUAUGCUUCAGUUCGCCGGAAAACCAUGUUCGAUCAUAAUCUGCCAUAAUUUGUUUCUAUUCACUACUGAAUCGUACGCCACCUUGAAAUCGAUAAACAGAUGAUGGGUCUGCAAGUUGUUGGUCUCUUGAACGGUUUGUAGAGACUCGGGGACAGUCGGUUGUUGUCUCAAGGUUUCCUAUUCACUGUGAUGGGGCUGCCAUCUUAGGUAUAGGUUCCACCAGUAGCUGUUUGCCAACACAGACGAUGUUCUUGAUGAACAGACGCUAGGGACUUACCUCCUCAAUCUAGCUGAAGUCAGAAGGACAACAGUGCCCUACUCUUAACUGGCAGUUUUUGUCCCGUAGAAGCAUGAGGUAGGAACUUGUGCGAACCAGUGCUACGUUGGACGCAACUUCUUGAGUCACCAUUUUGCAGUCCGCAAGAUGUUCUCCUGAAAUUUACCGAGAAUCUGCCGCAGGGUGAACAUUUGAUCCGUCGUUGAUCGGCCCUCACGAAAACCCGCCUGAUAUUUACUGACGACCUCAGCCUGUUAAACUGAAUUCCGGACAAAACUUUGUACGCUGAUUUGAGAAGUGUUGUUCCUCUGUAAUUCGCGUACUCCAGUCGGUGUCCUUUUUUGUAUAUAGGGUUCCGCAGCCUGUCCGUCGUUGUCGAUUCGAAUUCUGUCUGUCGCUCUUCCAUUCCUACCGUUAAACAAUUCCUCGAAGUGCUCUCUCCUCCUGGUAGCCACCAUUGUUUUGUCUGCCAAUAUGUCUGUUGGACGAUACUUUGCGUAUUAAUCAGCCGUGUUUCACUGUAAAUUCCACUCGUGCUGGACAUUCUACGUGUAUGUGUAUUGUGUUACGUCUAGUAUUCGUCCGCAUCCCUGGCAAUAAUGAGGACGAGUACGUCCGAUUUUCAAACCAAGUCGAAGCUGCAACCUCUCUGAAGAUAUCUAGAACUACUUCAGAGCAAACACCAACCCCUCAUGCGUCCCUCAGUUGAUAUUAGGGAUGUCAUUAUUCCAGAGAUUUACAAAGGGAGGAUCGUCAACGUAAGAUUGCGCCACUUUCUAGGGCCCACGCUGUCUUAGUAAACAGGCCCUCCGCUACCAGAUGUACCAGUGACAGCAUUUCACACUGAACCAGUAGAAAGCACCUCAGCAAAUUCUGAAGGCCUCAUUGCACUGACGUUCUAGAAUUUCUAGCACCGCGGUGUGCUACCUCUGCACCGCAGCUCAGAUCCGUAAAGUAUGCUAGGGACACACAUUGCCCUAGUCGAAGUACCAAGAGAAGCUUCAGAGAAGCGUCCAUUCAAGGCCCGAAUAAUGUUCAAUCUGGCGUAACUGUAUCUCGUCUGGCAUACUUGUCAAAGGAUACUAGGGUCCCUAUGAGGUGAACUCCUGCGUUCAAACCUCUUAAACUGCGGUUACGUAGGAAGUUAGCUACGAAGUUAAACAUACGCCCUUGGAUAUCCCAUCUCUUGCGGGUUAUCAAUAUAGGAGGGACCAAACUAACAUUUUCAGCGCUAUAAGCUUCAGUCAUUUGCUUUCUGUUGUGUAACAAUCGAAUUGAAGCAGUCAACGCUGAAUAAAAGGGAAGCUAGUCAAAUAUAAACCAUAAGCUAGUACACGGCUGCAAAUCAAGCACCGUACGGCCAGCAAACUCGGUUUUCAGUCCGGGAGAUUUCUCGGAAGAUGUUAAAAUUUGAACAGAUCGAAUAACAAAACAGCUGCUCCUAUACAGUAAAACUGACAAAUUCACAAAACAGCAGCGCUUUGAAGGCCGUUAUGCGAUAUCAUUACAACUAGAAGCUGUAAUAAAGAAACUGUUGGUAUAAAUACAAACACGACUUGUCGGAUGUAAACAUUAUUGUCAAAACAAACUUCAAGCGGGAUAUAUAGCUACUACACAAAUACUUCACAGCUAUCCAUCCCUGUGCUGUGAAAUCAUUUGGGUUGCGUUUACUGCACUUUAAUCCAACUCCGGAAGAUUUGCCGGAAGAUGUGCAAAUCGAAUAAGAGUCCCACAGCUGCUUUUAUACAGUACGUUUUCUAAUUUUGCCAAAUACUCUAAACAGCAGUGCUUCGUAGCUGUUUAAAGAACAUUCUUUCAGCUUGAAGCUGUGACGGUGUUGGGGCAACCACACAGCUUGUUCAAUGUAAACACGGUAUCCAUAACCUAAUUAUAUGUAAACGAUUAUUUGAGGAUGCCGUAUAACUAUUAUUUAACAACUGUGAAAAAGCGCAUCUCAGAAGGGCUCCGGAAGCAAACAAGAAGAAUUCUGGAAGCAUCCCAGAACGAAUCUGGAAACAGCCCUGAAGGAUUCUGGAAGCCUCUCAUAAAAAAAAAUACAAGCACACCUAAAAGAUUCUGAAAGCAUUCAAUAAGCAAAUUUAGCAGCAUUCGAGAAGAUUUCUGGAAGCAUCCCAGGAGAAAGCUUCUCAUAUGAUAUUUGGAAUCAUCCAAAAAAAAAUUUCGGAAGUUACCAUAAAGAAUCUUGAAGCAUGCCAAAAAUUUCCUGGAAGCAUCUCAGCAAGAUUCUGGAAGCAUCCUAUAAGGCAUUUGGAAGCAUUCAAGAAGGAUUCCGGAAGCAAUACAGAAGAAUUCUGGAAGAACCCCAGAUGGAAUCUAGAAGCAUCAUAAAAUGAAUCUGGAAGCAUCAUAUAAGGAAUCGGGAAGCAUCCCAGAAGGGUUCCGGAUGCAAUCCUGAAGGAUUGUGGAAGCAUCCUAAGCAUCCUUGAAGGGCUCUGGAAGCUUCUCAUAAGGUAUUUGGAAACAUCCCAAAAUGAUUCCAGAAGCAACACAGAAGGUUGCUGGAAGCAAUCCUAAAGGAAUCUGGAGCCAACCCAGAAGAAUUCUGAAAGCAUCCCUUAAGAAGUGAUCUGGAACCAUCCCAGAAGAAUUCUGGAAGCAUCCUAUAAUGAGUUUGGAAGCUUUCGGAUUCUGUUUUUGUCACUGUGCAGUGUCAUGGCGGAGGGCGCAGUUGAACUCGUUCAAACCGAAAUCCUGGGGCCUGGUGCGUUACAUAGGGUCCGAGGGGGCUUAAGGGGGAUUUUGAAGGUAUUUCAGGACGUUUCAGAGUAUUUCUGCGGAAUUAAGAGGCGUUACGAAAGCGUUACGGAGGAGUUUUCGGAGGGUUUGGAGCCUCUCAGGUGCGUUACAUAGGGUCCGAGGGGGUUUAAGGGGGAUUUUGAAGGCAUUUCAGGACGUUUCAGAGCAUUUCUGCGGAAAUAAGAGGCGUUACGAAAGCGUUACGGAGGAGUUUUCGCAGGGUUUGGAGCCUCUCAGGUGCGUUACACGGGGUCCAAGUGGUUUUAAGAGGGAUUUUGAAGACAUUUCAGGACGUUUCAGAGCAUUUUCUGCGGGUUUAAGAAGCGUUACGAAAGCGUUAUGGAGGAGUUUCUGGGGGGUUUAAAGCCCUCAUGUGCGUUACAUAGGGUCCGAUGGGGUCUAAGGGGGAUUUUGGAGGUAUUUCAGGACGUUUCAGAGCCUGUUAGGUAGGAUUCAGAGACGUUACGGAGGAGUUUUCGGGGGGUUUGGAGCUUAUCAGAUGCGUUACAUGAGGUCCGAGGGGGUUUAAGGGAGAUUUAAGAGGCAUUUCAAGACGUAUCAGAGCAUUUUAGGAGGAUUCAGAGGCGUUACGGAGGAGUUCUCAGGGGUUUCGAAGCCUCUCUGGUGCAUUACAUGGGGUCCCCAGGGGGUUUAACGGGGAAUUUUUAGGCAUUUCAGGAAGCUUCAGAGCAGACUCUGAAAUACCUUAAAACGCCCCUCAAACCUCUUUCAACGCCCUUUGAAGGCUCCUGAGAUCCCUUGGAUUGCCCCUAAAGCCCCUUGGAACGCCCCUGAAACUCACUCAAUACUAUUGAAAUACCCCGAAACUCCCCGUAAUCCCAUGAAAACACCAAAAAUUUUGACAGAACACCCUUAAAAGGCUCCUCAAGUCCCCCAAAACAACCCCUUAAAACGCCCCUGAAGCCCCUUGGAACCCCCUUUUUUGGGCUCUCUGGGAACCUUCUUGAAACCCCCUUAGCCCCACCUCAACUGCCCAGGAGCAAGACAUGUUCUCGCGAACUAGAUUCUCUAAUUAAAGCCUAAACUUAAUUUAUGCAUAAAUUUCCCUCUUUUUAUGCCUUUUUUAAUUUAUGCACAUUUUUAAUUUAUGCAAUCCCAGCCAUGUGCAUAAAAAGAGGUUCCAGUGUAGUAGGUAGCCUAUUAUUGGACAAACGUCGCUUUCGUCUUCAAUUGAAUAGCAGAACUUCACUUACGCCAAUGACUUGGCAUGCAGAUAAGCAAAGGCCUCAACGACAGUAACCUUAACAUUGGUAAAACUGUUCUUUACUCUUAGUUUUUUCACAGCAUGUAUGUUCUCCCCACGGAUAGAAUUGACCUUCCUCCAUAGUCCCGCCAAACUAGUGGUCACAGUAAUCUUCGCUGUGAAGGCAACUCAUGUACCCUUUUUAGUAUCAUAGAUGACCUUCCUAGUACUGGUACGCACAAAACGUCCGAAUCGCCAAAACAGGAAUACUUUUUGUCAUCAUGUUUGCGUGCUGAUCAAGUGUUGUUAGGUACUGCAGUACGAUCACUUUCUGUUGAAUCAGAUCUCGGAGAUAAUGGAACUCAGCAUUCACAAGUUUUAGACGUCCGAAGUCCUUGGAUUCCUCAGCAAUGCGCAUCGAAGACUGAGCUGAUUAUUCUCGAAGAAUACAACGGGAUCUCGAUCAUAACAACGGUCACGAAUCAGGCUCAUCAACCACUGCUCGUGACAACCCGUUACACAUAGUGUCGCCAGUUCUGCUUCAUUCGAACAGAGAGACACAGAUUGCUGCUUCCGUGUAAUCCAUACUGUCGUACAACCAAACACUUUAAAAAAAGAAACACGGUUAGUAGCCUAUUGGCAACAUCGUUGACCCAAUCUGCAUCACAAUAUACUUCUACCGCUACAGCAUUCAGGGUCAGUUGAUAAAAUAGGCUCACGUCCAACGAUCCCUUAAAGUAACGUAAAAUUUGCUUCAGAUAUUCCCAAUUAAGAUCCGUCGGGCAGCUCUGAUACUGGCUGAAAAAGUUUACCGAAGCAACCAAGUUCAGCCUUGUAGUCAUGGCUGCGUAGGUUUAACAUCCAAUCAUUGGCUUCCUAUAGGGCACUGCAUGAAAUUCUCUCCUUCUUUUUCACUUUUUUAGAAAUUUUGUAAACAACAUGGCCAAGAAACGUCAAAAUCCCGUACCAAAUCAAAACAAUACAGUGCCCGUGGUUCGGCUCUUUUCCUCACCAUGGUGGAGCUUCAGCCGAUUCUCCAUGGAGGUCAAAAUUGGUUAGCAAUCGACCUGCAGAUAUUGCUUCUGGCUUAUACGCAUCGAACCGCUUUUCACAUGUCGAUCAAUGCGCAAUUCAUUCUUCGUCAGACUCCGAUCCUCUAAGGCGUCUUUCCACUUCGUGUCAUUUCGGUGAGCACUGCUGACGCUGCUCCCUUGGUUCAUCCCGAAAUCCUUCACUUGCAUUGUCUUCUGCCUCCGUCGCAGCAUCACUAUUCCCACGAAAACUGUUAAACUCGUCCACUGAUUCUUCAUCUGAUACUUCUUCAACACAAGAUAGCCGUUUUGACCACAGCCAGUAAAGAUUCCUCGUUCGAUAUGUGCACAAAUACACUACAUCCAAACGUACGUAACUUCGAAAUAUUCGGCUUUUUGAUUUCCCACACUCCACGGAGUAACUCCAGAUUGGGUCGCAGUUGACGGGCCUUGAUUCCGUUUGUAAGCCGCCGUUUACACUGCCUGACCCCAAAACCGCUUACUGAUUCGAACAUCAUAGAACGAGCCUUCUCAACAAGAGUGCGGUUCAUCCGCUCGGCCACCCCGUUCUGCUUGGACGACUUUGCAGCCUACUGUUGUUAUGGUUAGCUUGGGUUGGCAGUCUGUGACCAGCUAGGGACUUAAGCCUGGAACGCAAACGUAUGUAUUGUGUGGGGCACUUUAGUCUUAACGGAAUAAACGUAUGACUUUCCCUCGCUUCUCUCGCUAUUUCUCUCGGAAUGAGAGCCUAAGGUCAAUCUGUUACUUGAGAUCAUUCGCUAUCCGCUUGUAGGAAGGGCACUCACGGUUGGUAGGCUAAUGAUUGCCACGGCGCGGCAGUUAGAGCAGGUAGUCUUUGCUCUACAUUUGCCUUCACAGGCGGGGUCGCCAAAUAAAACUGGACUAGCUCCCCUUCCUACUGUGCCCGUAACAGUUGUUUGGGGUAGCAGAGCCUUCAACUUCAACUUCUACCCCAUUGGACACUACGUGGUGACCUGCUUUAGCUUUGUAACCUUAGCAGGAUCUCUUCACAUGGGCGGUGAUAGUUGGCCAAGCAAUUUGUUGAAGUGAUUUGGCCAGAUGAAAAGGUCCCUAACUACGUUGUUACCUCCAAUGGCUCUCUCCUAGAGAACAAGAGUCACUUUGGUCACACGGUUAUUUUUCGGUAGGGUCCGCGUGUCCUGCACGCACCUCUUUCAUUGUGUUACAAUACAAACUCUUACGGGACGGCAAAGACCCACUCGUGUUGAAGCCGCCGGGAUCGAGCUUCCGCAUUGCUACAUAACUUCUAAACGUACACGCCGUGGAUACCUCAGCAAUACACCAUCCACUUAUCUACAGCCAUUUGGGCUUCGCGGUCCGUUAGACAGUUAGUAUACACCAGAAAAGCCUGAGCACCGCACUGCUCGGUUCUGGUCCCAAGACGGGACUAGACACUCAGACUUUCGGAGCAUCCCCUUCUCGUUCGCAUGGGAGUUCAGGUAUCCAGAAUCACAAACCAACCGAUCCUCCGUGGAGAACCGGACACGAGCCGUCUAUCUGUUAGGGCUGUUUUCUUUGCCAACUGCAGUACGAGACGAAACUGUGGUAAGGAACCACCGCACUGCAUUACAGUGGAUUCCUCUACAUUCUUCCAGCAACCUUCUGGGAAAUUUCUUCAGAAAGUCUUUCAGAAGCUCCUACAGGGGUUAAGUCUACGAUUUCUUUAACUUCCUUCUUGAGAACUAUCCUGGGAUUUGUUUUUGGAAUUUCCUCAAGAACUUUUAAAGGACUCUCAUAAGGAAUUCUUAAAACAAAAAGAAACCCCAGAAAGAUUCCACAAAAAGGAACUCGAGAAAAACUCCCAGAAGAAUUCCAGAAAGCCUCAAACUAAGAACUCCUGGAGAAUUCGCAGAACAAAAAAGUUGAUAGAAGAUUCUCAUUGGAAACUCCAAAAGGAGCUCCUGAGAGAUUCCUAGAAAACACUCCUGGAUGACUCUCAAAAGAAACAUCUGUUUGGGCUUCCACAACCCAAGUAACAUUUAUGGUUUUGUUCUGCUCUAUAAGAGAUCUUCAUGCCCAAUUUUAUAAAACUUGCAAUAAAACUGAUUUAUACAUCAAAACCUCUUGAUAACCUCUUUAAGAGCAUCUUCCGGCUAAGUGGACCACUCUCGGAGAGGUUUUGCAAACCACAAUAAGAGUAGCAAUAAAACUGUUUUAAAACUUAGUUGAAAAAUUUUCCAUUCACGAAAACAGGUUAUGAUGAUUGUUGGUGUUUUUUUCAACAAAAACUAUGACACCUCAAGAUGCAGAAAAGUUUCUUCGAUGGCAAGUAAAAUUCAGGAGCACACAUCAUUCGUAAGUAGAAAGCGACCAUUUCAAAGUAAUAUUUUAGUUGCAGAAACAUGCGCUUCAAAAAUAAUGAAUAUUAUCAUCUUGGAAUGAAAUAAAUCAAUUUGUUUAUUUAGUAAAACUAUCUCGAAUCGCAAGAAAACUCAGCUGAAAGAGUUUAUUUAUGUGAGCAUGUUAUGGAAACGACGGCAAACUCAAUCAAUUCAUUGCUUAUUUGAGCAAAAUUAACUAUUUUCCAUUCACGUCAACUAAUUCUUCAAUAUGACGACGACCAAAAUUAGCGAAAAUAAUACGAAAGCAAGUUUACUUUUAUGAUGACCGCAAUAAACCUAGCAGUGUCGUAGUUUCUGCUUUUCCACCAAAAGAUGUCGUUUCUAAUCAAACGGAUCGCCAUCUGUUGAGAAUUUGAACAGUUUUAUUGUGGUAAUAAUGAAUGCCAGAAGGUUCACAUAUCGGAGAGUUUUGUUUACUCUUAAAAUCUGGCUUUAUGAAUAUCUUAAAGUAUUCUAUAAAACAUUUCACCAAAGGUUUUCAUAAAAGUAGUCAUAAAACUGUGAGUUUUGAUUAUUGCUGUGAUAAAACCCUAAUAAAAAUCAAACAAAACCAAUCAGCGAUGGAAUUGUUACUUGGGAAGGUAUUGUUUCAGGAUUUCAAGAAAAAUAAAUCUGGAGGGUUCCCAGAAAGAACUCCUGGAAGGUUCCCAAAAUCCUUGAAAAUUACCAGAAAUAGCUUCUGGAGGAUUGCCAGAAGGAAAUCCUGCAUGAAAUUCUGAAGAAAUUACGAAGACAAUUCUUGGGGAAUCCAGCAGAAGUUCCUGGAGUAACACAAGAAAGAAGUUUUAGAUGAAUUUAAAAAAAUCUGAGAAAUUAAAAAAAAAACGCUGGAACUUUUGGAAUUUCAGCAUGAAAAUCUGGGUGAACCUUAAAAGAUUUCAAGACUAUUACUUGGUUAAAACCUAGCUAAAUUCCAAAAACAUUCUAGUAGGAAUCUAAGAAGGACUUUCUUGUGGAUUCUAAAGGAAUUCCGGAAGAAAAUCGGAAUGAAAUUCGUGAAGAAAUCUCAGAAGAAACUCAUAGAGGGAUUCCUGGUGGAACUCUAAACAUAAAUCCCAAAGAAAUUCCUAGAGAAUCUCCGGAGUGAUUUCUGGUGGACUUACCGAAGAAACCCCGGGGGAAGUUUUAAGAGAAUCCUCUGCUAAAUCCACACAAAAUUCUUACGAAAUGCCAAAGGAUUUUCUUAACAAGUUUCAACAAAUUUCAAUAAAUUAUUAAGGCUUAAUUCUGAAGGAAUUUCAUAGAAAGCGAAAAAGCUACAAGAUUAUCUACAGGAAUCACAGGAAUAUGCUAAGAGGAAUCUUAGGAGAAGUGUCAGAAUGAACCCCUCGAGGAAUACCAGAACCAGCUCUGGAGGAAUUACUAAAUAUCACCUAGGAGAAGUAAGGCUUACCUGAAAGAAUCUUGGAAAAAGCUUCUCCAGGAAUCAACAAAGUAGUUCCUGGAUGAAUCUCAAAAGAAACUCAUAGAGGAAUUCAAGGUGGAACUACUGAGAAACUACUGGAGAAAUUUAGGAUGCAAAAUGUGGGUGAAUUAUUCUAGUAGAAACCUUCAAAAAAAUCUUUUCAACGUAUUGCGCAAGACAUUCAACUCCAUCUGCAGGUUAUGGGCCCAGUUUCCUUUCAACAACAUCAUUAUUCACUGGUCACCACAAGGUCAUAACAGCCAGAAGUAUCAUCUUGUUGUCACUCACGAUCGAAUGCCGCUGUGAUACUUUUUUAUACUAUUUAGUUGAAAAAACUUAAAUCACAACAUCACAACAUUAAAGAACUGCUGCAACAUGGUAAGGGCAAAAGCUUCUAAUUUUGAAACGCGUAAAGAAAUAAACGUAAACAUGAUAAUCGGAUAAUUUGCGAUAGAGAGAGAAACGUGAAACAUAAACAUAAAGCAUAUCAUUACGAUGGACAUUACGAAAAAAACCUAACUAAAGAGAGAGAAACUACCACACUCAUACACACAUACAAGUUAAUUACAUACACGCUAAAGGCUAAGUUCGUCGAAGCAAAAAACCUAAAACAAAAUCAAAUAUUUUUUGAUAUCGAUUUACACUAUCUUUGAACCAAUCAGAAUCAAUUGAAUCCAAGCGGAAAUCCCCCUAGGAAAACAAUGAAUGCACUUUUCGCGCACACAAACAAAAGACACUCAGUAAAAUUCACGCACUGUUUUCAGUUGAUCCGGAGAAGUAAGCAGCAACAAUUCUAACAAAACCAAACGUCUAAACACCGAAAACCAAAUAGCCAAAAAUGACUCAAAGCUUUUCAAAGAUUGUUUUUUGGAAUGAUUUUCAGCCCAAAAACGAAACGCAACGCGCCGUAACAAUCGAACCAAGACAAACGCAACUGUUUAGAAUUUUUUGACGGACGCUUUUCCUAUAUAAGACACGCGCCAAAGCAUCAGCAAUACACACUUACACCCACUGAGAAAAAGCGCCACCUAUAGUUUGGUUCGUAACAGCGGCAGCACCACCAAAAGAAAACAGAACACGAAUCGUCUUAUGAUUAAUUGAAAAAAAUGGUGAUACAAACAUACAUUACGUACAGACGCGACAUCUACAUUCAUAGACACACACACAUACACGCAAACAUAACUCUGUAUUUAUCACAAUUUGGGGAUUUUUCCCGCUUCGAAACGAGAGACACCUACCGGUGAGGCGACAGAGCAGCACCAGUAAAACCAAUACAAUACCAAAAUACCACAAGAUGUAAUUAGAUCAGAAGGAGCGCGACGAAACACAAGUAUUAAUUCUAUUGGAGAAAAACAAGAAAAAAAAAGUUAAGAAAACAAACUGAGUAGCUGUAUUUAGAGUAAAAACUAAACAACCGCGUAAACACAAGUAUCGACAGUAAUCAAGGGGCGCGGAUGAGCAUGAGGAGCGAGAUAGGGUGGGAAGAGGGGGUACGGGGUAUUUUAUAUAUAUUGAUGCUGAUCAGCAUGUGGUGUUAGAUACUUGGUAAAGCGCGUGGAAGACGGUAGCCUAUGAUUAUAUAGUUAAUUUUUAAAAAUGCGGUUAUCAUAUAUAGGACAAUUCAUGAAACCUCGAAUCAGUUCUUUGGUAGGAAACGACAAUUCGUUUGACACACGAACAUACACAAACACACGUUUUAGUGUAAACAAAGCAUUCCCAGAGUUAGUAAAAAAGCAUUGUUUCGACUAUCGUUUCUCCAAUUUUGAUCAAUCGAGUCCUUGGAAAAAAAUGUAAAAACUCGAAAAAAAAAUCGAGUUUAGUAAAUACACACGUAAACAACCAACAACUAGCUUUUGAUAACGUGAUUCAUGAACUAUUGUCCUUUCAGUUCACUACCAGUAGCAGUAAAAACGCAGAUGGCCAUGUAAAAACGCACGGUUUAUGAAACACAACAAAGUUGACGCUUUUGCGCGCCUGUCAAUGCGUUGCGCGUUGCCACGGCUAUACCAACUCUACUCACGCAGCGCCAUCUGUACGUCGUUUCGGUUUACCCAAUCGGUUGGCUUUUGACGUUUCACUCACGCACGGUUUUCGGCUUACGUUUUUUUGUUGAUCUUGAAUUUUCCACAGUGGAUUUCAGUUGCGUAGCGAAUUUGAAGUAGCAACAUUCAAAAAAGCGGUUCAUGAAUUUAUGAAAAUGGAAUUUCAAGAAAUAAGUACACAAAAUAUCAUUGCAAUAUGAAACCAACUAAACAUAGAAUGAAAAUCACUUUGUAAGUAAAAGUAAACACACGAAGAAACGCUAGAAUAAACAAUUGCAACCAUCAUUGAAUAUACACAAACACACACUGAAAACUAAAUACCAUGAAAAUAUAAAAGACCUAUGUAACAGCAAGCGCCCUGUCAAAAAAAAUCGAUUAAAAAAUGUUCAUCUCACUAUAAUUCAACACGGUUCCACAAGAAACCACAAAUCCGUGAGAAAGAAAAAAAAACAUUCGUCUAGUUGUAUUCAAAAUAAACGAUACUAAUUGUUGAUCCAUUCCUGUAUUCUUUAUCGAUGAUUGAAUCAGACAAAAUCAAAUUCCUUUUCCCAUUAUUUAUGUUUUUCUCUAAGAAAAAAAAGUCAAAUAUUUACUACAAAACCGUCAUUGAUUGUUGAUUAUUUAUCCAAGAAAAAUUAGAAAAAAAAAAAGAUCAAGCAACCUUCUCCUUAGAAAUGAAAUUGCUCCUUCUUGAAACCCAAGUCAUCAAGUAAGAUACUACAAAUAGUCUAAUGUAAUCACUGAAAACAGAAAACUUAUACACUCACAGUCAUCAUAGCGGAACAAACACACUCACACGAACACAUACGCAUAUUGAUCAAACUAAAACAAAACAAACAAGUAAGAUAAACAAACAGAACUUAUAUCAUCCAGAAACAUGAUUUCAGCUCUUUCCUCGAAUCACUUUCUCACACAAUCACAAACGAAAACGAAAUACUGAUUUACUAUCUCUCUCACUCUCUGUAACAAAGUCACGCAAAAGCACUCCUGUAAUAUCCCCUCUUUCUCUUUCAAAGACAUUAAUAUGCAUGUGUAAACAAUGGCAAAACAAACGCAAAAGAAAAACAAACCCAGAAGCUAGAUGUUGAACAACGCGAAAGGCGACCGUAUGUACCAAUAAUCAGUGUAAAACAGAGAUAAACGGAAAUUCCCCAUAACGAACAAAUAACUAAAGCAUUCACAAAAAAAACAUACAUACACACAUGAAAAAACAGCACCUGCUCGUUCAUAAACGAUUAGCGGUAAAAUUCAAAACAAAAACGAACGAAAACCCAUUAUCAACUGUGCAAUCGUGAUCACGAUACGAAACAAACAAAAAACGAGAGGAAUGUGCGUGAACGUUUAGCGACUAAACAAAAAAAAUACUCUGAUUCCACCACUGCCACAAUCGAUAAGAAGAGGGGUAAAUGAGACACACACACAAAGAAAUAUGAGGGAGAUGAAUAAGGUACGCACGCGCACUACUGGGCGAAACACGAACAACAAAAACCAACCACAAACAGGGGAUUAUAACUAAAAAAAACAGAAACGAAAAUCGCAUUUGCAACAACAACAGCGUAGAUUGAACCAAACGAAUAAACAAUAGUUGCAGACACACGAUAAACACAGACAAACACACUCGAACACGAAAUUAUAACAAAAACAGGAGGUGCAGUGCGAACAAGACAAAAAAACACAGGAAUGCAAUAUAAGCCACACACACAAACACAAAACAA